GUGAAAUUAUACAUUCCAUGUCUGGAUGUGUGGACAUCAACGUUGGACAUACGAGUGUAUUUUGUACAGGAAAUGUUUCAUUUUAGAAGGAAGAAAAAGCAGCAAAUUGUCGAUAAUCAAGUUUGGAAAUAAGAACAGACACAGCGAUGAUGCUGCUUCCCUUGCAUCCUGGCAUGACCAUGGAAGACUGCAUAAUGGCAAUUAACAAAUCUCCUGUGCCUGAGUUGCUUCACAAAACAAAAUGAGCAGAAGCAAAGAUUCUCUAUUGAAGAAGAUAAGGUAACUAUUGCAGAAAUGUUGACAUCUCCUGAUAGAAAUUUCAACAAUAAACACGAUGGGAACAUUAAGCAUCCAUUUAGUCGAUCUUGGAGCUGUUCAUCCUUUUCAUUGUCUUGCAGACAACGAGGCCACUAAAUCUCCAUUGACAAAACCAAUGAAAAAUGUUUUUGACCUAAAUUCUAAAAAUAGGUACUUUGCCAAUUUCCUCAGACAAUAGCUACAGUCUCAUAAAAUCCGAUAGAAUAUCUUCCUGCAAGUCUGUAACCCACAAGUGAUUACUUUCACUCUUGUACACAAAUACACAAUGAUCUCAAACAUUUACACCUACUUGCAGCCUUCCACACUGCUGACAGCCUAUGAAGAAAAGAUUAGCAUCAGAGUGGAUUUUUGAAAAUGAUUCUCUCACAGUGAUAAAGGCUUUAAAGAAUUUCUCUAUCUAGCCUGAUUAUAAAUUAGAAGUACUAUUAUCCAAUAUAGCUAUCUUUGGUCCAAUUGAACUACAAAGGAAGUGCAGUGAACUGCAAAUGCUACUAACUGCUACACAUUUUUUAGCCAAUUGAACUGCUAGCUAAAACUAAAAAACAUAAAUACCAAUACCUUUAUUGCACAUGUAACAAUCAAUCACAUAGAUUAUUCAGUGAAGAGUCAUUGAAUCCAAAGAAUGUACAAAGGGACCAAAGAAAAAGCUAAUGCAACGAACAAAUAAUAUGUAUUUUCAUCAGAUAAGAAAAAAUAAUUGGAAGAUCAUGAGCAAACUGAUCUCAAAUUCUUUGAUAGAUAUAUAAGAACAUUUCCGCAUUAUUCUACUUCAAAAGCAUCGCAACAAUUUCCAGUAAAGAACUUUAAACCACAUGUACUAGACAUAUAACUCCAACAUAAGGAAAUAGUCCAUUAGAACCUUGCUUAAGCACCAGCUAUAGAGCCUUCCAAUGUCGCAUUGAUUUGUUACCAAGAUGCUUUCUUUACACCAUUCAACAUACCUUGGGAUGCCAACUCACGGAAAACAAUACGAGACAUUCGAAAGACCUGAUAAACAGCACGAGGGCGACCCGUAAAAAUACACCUAUUUCUCACUCGUGUAAAAGAACUGUUUCUCGGCAACUUAGACAGCUUGUAUUGGAAUUUCUCACGAAUUUCCGUUGGAAGCUGAGGAUCUCUAACAAGCGCUUUGAAAAGAUUUCGUUUCAAUUCAAAUUUGGAAGCAAGCAACCUAAGAUGAUUAUCCUUUAUACAACGAUUCUGGAUUUAUAGACAUUGGACAUCAACCUCUUUCUACUUAAUUUUAAUUUUUUUCAUCUCACGGUCAGGGUAAUCUAGUUCUGUUUGUUUUGUUAUUGUAUAUCUGUUUUUGAUCUUUAAUUUUUUGCUUUUACUUUGCUGGUUAAUCUGGUUUAAUUUUGUUUAUUAAUGGUAGUUCUAUUUUUUUGAAUUUAUUUUAGUAUAUCGAUUUUUCCUUUUUCAAUCUGUUUAUUUUUCUUUGUAACAGAUGAGAUUUGAUAGUGAGAACGAAGAAAGCUGAGUCUUUUAU
rnacentral:misc_RNA from 1 species